rnacentral:rRNA from 1 species
GGCCAGACUCCUACGGGAGGCAGCAGUGGGGAAUAUUGGGCAAUGGGCGCAAGCCUGACCCAGCAACGCCGCGUGAAGGAAGAAGGCUUUCGGGUUGUAAACUUCUUUUCUCAGGGACGAAUAGAUGACGGUACCUGAGGAAUAAGCCACGGCUAACUACGUGCCAGCAGCCGCGGUAAUACGUAGGUGGCAAGCGUUAUCCGGAUUUACUGGGUGUAAAGGGCGUGCAGCCGGGCUGACAAGUCAGAUGUGAAAUCCCGCGGCUCAACCGCGGAGCUGCAUUUGAAACUGUCAGUCUUGAGUACCGGAGAGGUCAUCGGAAUUCCUUGUGUAGCGGUGAAAUGCGUAGAUAUAAGGAAGAACACCAGUGGCGAAGGCGGAUGACUGGACGGCAACUGACGGUGAGGCGCGAAAGCGUGGGGAGCAAACAGGAUUAGAUACCCUCGUAA